rnacentral:tRNA from 1 species
GCGCCCGUAGCUCAAUCGGACAGAGCGUCGGAUUUCUAAUCCGAUGGUUGCAGGUUCGAGUCCUGCCGGGCGCGCCA